CGGAAUUACAGAAAUUAUUAUACGAAGAGUUCCAAGUAUUUCUCACCAUUCGCCAAGCAAAUGAAUACACAUAUUUAAUUAAUUUAAAGAAAAACUAUGAAAUAGGAUUGAAACAGGUGAAAAAAAUGAGACCGAUAAUAAUUAUUUUAUCACUGCGAAAAACCAGAAAGGAGGAUGAAAAUUCUAUUGAAAACUAUUAUCUGUCUAGAGAAGUUUUCGCCGAAAAAAUUGCGAGUUAUUUUACAGAACUGUUCUUAGACAAGAGAGAAGUUUUAGAAGUACUCAAAG